AGGCUGCGAGUUCCCGGCUCUGGGGACUCACCUUGCGGAGCUUACCCAGGCGGACUCUCCGCAGCCCCUGAUGGGUGUGUGUGUCAGACCGUUUACUAAACACCAGGACUGUUGUAGGCGACUGUGAGGAGAACAGCCCAGUGAGGCUGAGGCCACACAAUUAACCCCAGUCUUUGCACUACAACUCUACCAGGGAUCCUGGUUUGGCUCAUUUUCUUUCUUCUGCACCAUGAUUGUUCACCUUUUCAUUACCAGCAACAUACCCAAAGACCUAGCUAUAGACUCGUUGGAAUCUGUUACUUAGCAGCUGUGUGAAUCAAGUGUUCAAUAGGAAUAAUAAGAUGUAUUCAUCUUACCUUUUCAGAACAUUAUGAAGAACAAAUGUGGUAAGACAUAUGAAAAUGCUUUGUAAAGUGUUAGAUGCUUAAUACACAGAAGACAUUGCUUCCAGAUCUGUUUCAACGUACCCCAAGAAUGGAAUAAGUGGAAUAUGCUGGUUUCAUGCACUGUGGCAAGGGGGUCUCAUCUUGGCUAGACUUGAAUAAGUGGAUUUGUUGCCUGGCCUCUGUGGAUGGCUCUUUCUCUGGGCUUUUGUGUAUUUGAUUUUUUAUUUGCUCCAGCAGCCGUGUUGAACCAUGAAAGGACCUCAGGAAUGAAACCCACACACAGCAAAGCAACAAAGUGAAAGAAGCGUGGAUUCCUAAUGCAGGAGGCACUGAACCAAUCAAUACCCACUGCCCUCCAGACCUCCACAUGAAAGAAAAAAACUGCUGUCCUGUAUUCCUUUAAGCCUCUCUGAAACUUGACCCUCUGGCAGGAACAGGUGCCAUUACAUACAGACACUCUCUCUCUUCCAAAUUCACCCUGUCAUAUCAAAGGGAAAACUGAAGUGGUCCACUGUAGACCUGACAGAUGAUCACAAACAGGAAACCAGCAAUCAGAAGUGCCUACUGAGCUCCCUACCCUGACCAUCACCUACAGCUACAUUUUACAGAUACAAAAUCAUUGUUUGUUCAACUUUCAUAUCAAAGGAUGCUAUUAGUUCAUUUCCAAAGGUGGGAAAAUGUUUCAACUUACUUUAUUACUUGUCUGCUACUUACUAUUUUCCCUCCGUUUGCCUGCCUGACUUCUUUUAACUCUUCACUCAACAAAUAUCUACUGACUACUGAGCACUUGCCAAGUGCUAGGCCAGAGCUGGAUGCUGUACUACGGGCAGAUGAAGUGCUAUGGGCAUCCAGAGGUGGAAGAAGAGGGUAUAGCGAAAGGGGAGAAAAGGCUGCAACAAUAUUCACUGAGCCCUGUGCUCCCAGGUCAUCACAUAGACUAUGUCAUUAUUCCUCCUAACCACCCACAUGAGUAAAUAGGGGCUAUUACUGAAGAAACAGAGGCUUACAAAGGUUGAGCAACUUGCCCAAGGUCAUCUAUCACAAGACACUACAAGUCAGACUGCUGAAGAGGGAGUUUCUGCUGAGAAGCUGAAGUGGGCAGCUCAUAUUGGAUAUGAAGGCUUCAAAGGAAUCUAAAUCCUAAUGAUCCCUCUAGAGCCAACAUGCAGCACCAGUUUUCUCUUCCACAUUUGAACUGCUCAUCCACUUCCGGCUCCAAGACCUCACUCUCCAUCUAAACUAGUCCCACGCCAUCCAUAUCUUUCUCCACUAACGCCACCCAAUCACAACCCCACAGCCUCUUAGUCAUGAGUCAUUUUUUAAAAACUGCAAACCAUGUAAUGAGCCAUGGCAAUAUGCAACCCUAAACCUCAACACGUGUUUUCCACAACAAGGCCACAGGUGGCAGAAGCGAGCCUAAGGCCGUAGGACACUAAGGCAGGACUCUCUGGCUUGAGCUUUCCAAAAAGGGAGGUGAGAGAAGGUCUACCUGCGGGAAGUCAUGCUGAAGGCCUGAGGCUGAGUCAAAGAAGGAGCCCCCUGGAGGCUCUGCAGUUCCUGGACUUCAGGAAAAACAUCCAGGCAAGUGGACAGCAUUUGCAACAGCCCAGCAAUAAGAAGGACCAUAUUCUACUUGGGAAAAGGUAAAGUCGUUUCAUAUGGACGGAGCCUGCCAGGAAACCUGUCAUUCAACCCUUUGCAAUAAAACAGCUCCUCAUGAAUGAAGCAAAAUAAAUCAGAAGUUGUGGGCUUUUAAACUCACUAAAUGAAAGCACAGCAUGCAUGCAGCCUCCCUCCAAAUUAAUCACCAGAUUAAAUGCAAGAUGUGCACACCAAAUCAAUAGCUUGUGACGGGGACCUCCUGCCUGUGCUUCAGGAAAAUUCCAUUUCCUUUCAGAUGUUGUCGCUUGAAAUGUCAGGAAGUUUCCAUUCAUCACCCGCCCUUGAAAAUGCCACCAUCACCAUACUUCAUGUUUCCUUGCUUUCUUUCUUCAGAGGAAUCCAAGCACCUUGCAGAGGGAGCCCACUCCUUGUCACAGACUCUCCUGGAGGCUGAAACAGGGGCAGUCUGCACAGAGGAGAGGUGUAGAGAGGCGCGAUUUAGAAAUAAGAAAACCAAAUCGUAAAGAAGCCUAAUGUCUUGUUGCAACAUCUGAAAGAAACAAGAUGAAUAUAUUCCACUAGGUGGGAAGCUUAGGGUAGUGGGAAGAACAUGGAUUCAGGACUUUGAGAAACAUGGAUUUAAAUUUUGAUCCCCAAUGCCUCUCUGCACUUCACUGUUAUCUAUAAAAUAGAGGAAAUAAAAAUACUAUACAUUCAAGUCUUAACACCAACAGUUAACUAGUUGUGUAACCUUGGACAAGUUAUGUGACCUCUCUGUCUGAGCAUUGUCAUUUGUAUAUGAGAUCAUGGAGGUUAAAUGUCCAACCUGUUGUCACUGUGCACCUCAAAAUAA
ensembl:lncRNA FGGY-DT FGGY divergent transcript